rfam:Dipodomys ordii contig_39655, whole genome shotgun sequence.
GGUGGCUCAGUGGUAGAGCAUUUGCCUUGCAUGCAUGAGGCCUUGGGUUCGAUUCCUCAGCACCA